rnacentral:rRNA from 1 species
ACACUCCUGCGGGAGGCAGCAGUGAGGAAUAUUGGACAAUGGGUGGAAGCCUGAUCCAGCCAUCCCGCGUGCAGGAAGACGGCCCUAUGGGUUGUAAACUGCUUUUAUCUGGGGAUAAACCUACUUACGUGUAAGUAGCUGAAGGUACCAGAAGAAUAAGCACCGGCUAACUCCGUGCCAGCAGCCGCGGUAAUACGGAGGGUGCAAGCGUUAUCCGGAUUUAUUGGGUUUAAAGGGUCCGUAGGCGGACUGAUAAGUCAGUGGUGAAAUCCGACAGCUUAACUGUCGAACUGCCAUUGAUACUGUUAGUCUUGAGUAAGGUUGAAGUGGCUGGAAUAAGUAGUGUAGCGGUGAAAUGCAUAGAUAUUACUUAGAACACCAAUUGCGAAGGCAGGUCACUAAGUCUUAACUGACGCUGAUGGACGAAAGCGUGGGGAGCGAACAGGAUUAGAAACCCCUGUAGUCC